rnacentral:rRNA from 1 species
AUUGAACGCUGGCGGCAGGCCUAACACAUGCAAGUCGAGCGAGAGGCGGACGGGUGAGUAAUGUCUGGGAAAAUGCCUGAUGGAGGGGGAUACCUACUGGAAACGGUAGCUAAUACCGCAUAGCAUCACAUGUGCCCAGAUGGGAUUAGCUAGUAGGUGGUGUAAUGGCUCACCUAGGCGACGAUCCCUAGCUGGUCUGUGAGGAUGACCAGCCACACUGGAAUUGAGACACGGUCCAGAAUCCUACGGGAGGCAGCAGUGGGGAAUAUUGCACAAUGGGCGCAAGCCUGAUGCAGCCAUGCCGCGUGUGUGAAGAAGGCCUUCGGGUUGUAAAGCACUUUCAGCGAGGAGGCGUUACUCGCAGAAGAAGCACCGGCUAACUCCGUGCCAGCCGCCGCGGUAAUAC